UCCUGGUGGCUCAGUGGUAAAGAAUCUGUCUCCCAAGCAGGAGACCUGGGUUCGAUCCCUGGGUCGGGAA
rnacentral:tRNA from 1 species